rnacentral:rRNA from 1 species
AUCUAACUAGGGACGAGCAUGAAUGGAUUAAUGAGAUUUCCACUGUCUCUAUCUACUG